GACACACAGGGAAGGACUGCUACACUUCUUUCAUUCUAACUCACUGGAUAUUAGAUAGUUACUCAUGUGGUUUCAAAGGACGCGCUGGCGGAAACGCCAGUCUCGCGAACUGGGCUAAUGUGACUUUAUUCGCGCGUGUUGUUUCUAUUAUGCGGUCGAUGGCGCAGAAAAAGAGGAUGGGUGAAACAACGCAGCCCAACCCUGUUUUCAUUUAUGCGUUUUGGAAGAAACAAAAUAUUUUCUUAUGAAGAUGAAAUCAGCGUCGUCUGAAUGUUGGUUUCCUAUGGAAUCGAUGAAGCGAGUGAAAGGAGCAGCAUGCUACCUUGGUGAUUGAUCACUCAAUGAGAACGAGGAGCGCAGCUGCAAUACGAUGGCUGAGGAGAAUAACCUGAAGACAGCCAAAUUAUGGAGGGAUGCUGCUCUGCGCUCCAGGAAGCUGCGGAGCAAUCUGCAGCUAACUCUCAGCGUCAAAAACAGCCAGACAAUUACAUUACCAGAGGACAUUAAAGAGCUCGAGGUCCUCAAUCUGGGUAAUAACUCCCUGCAAGAGCUUCCAGAGGGACUGGGCUCAACCUUGACAAAGCUUCGCAUCCUUGUUCUUCGCAGAAACAAGUUUGCCACUGUACCUUCUGCAGUUUUUCAACUUAGUCAAUUGGUUGAGUUAGAUAUUAGUCACAACUGGCUGGGCCACUUUUCAGAAGACAUUGAUCUUUUGAAGGGGCUUAAGAAGCUGUGCAUCAGUCAUAACAAAAUCAAAUUUCUUCCAUCUCAGAUUGGGACUUUGCAGUGUCUUGAGGAACUGGAUAUCAGCUUUAAUGAGUUGCAUGAUUGUCCCAGGUCAUUCUCCCAGCUCAGGAAGCUCAGAACACUUGAUGUGGAUCACAACAAGCUGCAGCGUUUCCCCUCUGAAAUUCUUGCCCUCUGUGACCUGGAGGAGCUCGACUGCUCUGGAAAUAAACUAGAGGGUCUUCCUGGCAAUGUCAUGAUGCUUCAAUCUGUUAAAAUCAUGUGGCUGAGCAGCACCCAUAUCUCCUCCUUACCUGAAACAUUCUGUGAUCUGCAGAACUUGGAGAGUCUGAUGCUCGAUAAUAAUUUUCUCACAAUCCUGCCGCAAUCAUUUGGAAAACUACAAAAGCUAAAAAUGCUUAAUCUCUCAUCCAACUCCUUUGAAGAUUUCCCUCAGGUUAUUAUCAAAAUCGCUAGUUUGGAGGAGUUGUAUUUAAGCCGUAAUAAACUGACCUUCCUCCCCGAGGAGGUAGGACAGCUCUGUAAUCUCACUAAUUUGUGGUUGGACAAUAAUAGGAUAACGUUUCUUCCAGAUUCUAUUGUAGAGCUGGGGAAAUUAGAGGAGCUAGUGUUACAGGGUAACCAAAUUGCCAUACUUCCCGACAAUUUUGGAAAACUUGCCAAAGUUAACAUUUGGAAGGUGAAGGAUAAUCCUCUCAUUCAGCCUCCGUAUGAAGUGUGCAUGAAAGGGAUCCCCUACAUAGCUGCCUAUCAGAAGGAGCUUGCACACUCCCAGACUGCUGUAAAACCCAGACUGAAACUUGUUAUGAUGGGCCAGAAAAGUGCAGGGAAAACCACACUCAGGCAAUGCAUUGUCAGUAAACCAUCAGACACCAAGGUGGCUAUUGGUGGUAGGGGAAUUGAUGUUACAAACUGGGUAGCGGAUGUUGAUCGUAGUCUUACAUUUAUUGUGUAUGAUUUAUCAGGUAAACAGAACUACGAUCUUAUCAAACCCUUUUUCCUCUCACCUGGAGCUCUUUAUGUUUUGGUGGUUAAUUUGAAAUCAUAUACAUCAAAGAGCUUUUACACUCAUAUUGGGUGUUUUCUCCACCUGCUCAGUGCCAAGGUGCCACAUGCUGUUGUGUGCAUUGUGGGGACCCACUCUGACCUUUGUAAGGAGUUUGAGAUUGAAGAAAUGUGCCUGGAUAUUCACAGACAGAUUUCACUCCAGGAAAAGAUGGACACUGAGUGCUUGCGAGUGCUUGACUUGCAGUUAGAAAAAGCCCUUGAACAGGGUUAUGAUGUCCGAACCUGUAGCCCCCAUGUGCUCUUUUAUGGGGUCUCGGAUAAAAACUUGAGACGUAAGAAGUCCCAGUUGCAAUAUAUGCUGAACAAUCGAUUACAAAUCCUGUCUCCAGUAAUUUCUGUCAGCUGUGUGGCAGCACAAAGGAACAUCCAGCACUUGAAAGAGAAGCUCAUGAUGGUUGCUGAUCACAAGGAGAUUUUCCCCAACCUUCAUAGAGUGCUACCCAAAUCAUGGCAGAUGCUUGAGGAGCUGCAUUUUAAGCCACAGGAUUUAUGGCUUUCCUGGUGGGAUUCGGCCCGAUUGGGCUUGCAGGCAGGGCUGACGGAGGACCGUCUGCAAAGUGCUCUCUCCUACCUACACGAGAGCGGUAAACUUUUGUACUUUGAAGACAGCUUGACACUGAAGGAAUAUGUCUUCCACAAUCUGCCACGGUUUAUUGCCAUCUUGAAUGUAUUUUUUCAGAGGGACCUCACGACAAUGCUUGAGAAACUUGAAGCUGAGGGAGAUGAUGAAGUGAGUGCCAGAUCCACACAGAUGCACAGUCAUGUGGACGGUUUUCUGUCGCACGGCCUGCUGCCAUCAAAUGUCAUUCGUUUGCUGCUUAAACCCUUAGUACAGACACAGCAGGACUUGCAUCUGAUCAUGGAACUGCUGGAAAAGAUGGGGGUCUGCUACUGUGUCAACAAACCUCACAAUAAGCCACUUAAUGGAGCCACCGUCUGGUAUAAGUUCCCCAGUCAGGUCAGCAAUGAGGAGCCCCAUACUGAGGCCUUGGCCAGUGGGGGUUCGUCCAUACCUGGUCAGUUCUUCUCAGUCGAACAACUGCAGAUUGAAUAUAGGUUUCCUUUUCUAACCCCUCUUGGACUUUUUGCUCGAUAUAGUGUGCAAAUCAACAGCCUCGUGGUGCAGCGAUCCGACGGAAAGCAUCACAUCUUUGCGUAUCGGGGUAAAGUGCCUGUGACUGUGAGUUACCAGCCCUCUCAGAACAGAUUGCAGGCUGGGACCCUCUCGAUUUCCAGCCAUGCAUCCUUGCCAAAUAUCUGGACAGCUUGGCAAGCCAUUAUUCCUCUAGUGGAAGAGUUAAACUUUCUUCUGCAGGAAUGGCCUGGCCUUCACUACUCUGUGCAUGUCCUGUGUUCCAAGUGCCUGAAGAGAGGGUCUCCAAACCCACAUUCCUUUCCAGGUGAACUGUUAAGCCAGCCCCGACCUGAGGGGCUGACUGAGAUCAUUUGCCCCAAAAACGGCACGGAGCGGGUCAGCGUGGCACUAGUUUACCCUCCAACCCCAACUGCAGUCAGCCCUAGUCAUAAAUGACACUUACUUUUCGGAACUUACCUGCCGGUGAAUGGCCUCCACAAACAGAUGCACCUCUUUUUCCUAUAUCUUAUAUGCACACGUGUACAUACACAAGAGUGUGUGUUUGUGUUUGCAAACACAUAUACUUGUUUUGACACAUGCGUGUGCCCCACUUACUUGUUGCCUCUGCCCUUGAUGACGGUGAUGACAGACCACUUAAUGGAUGAUUGUCAUAGGGAGACCAUAAUACUUACAUGUUAUCAGCUCUGACUGCCAACACAUGAUAAACUGAACAUAUUGGAAACACGUUGCAGUGACAACUCGUUUCAUUUAUGUACACCAAUUGUUCCUUGGGCCCUCUGAAAAGCCUUUUAAUCACUUUGAGUCUCAACUCCACUGGCUCAGCACGAUGGUCUGAACCUUUCAGCUCAAUUUAAGUUCUUGGAAAUCACCAAUUGUACCCAGAGGCAUCUCUUAGACUGAAACUACAUCUUGUCUGUGCUGUUGUGGGUGAAUCUGCUGAACGAAAUAGGAAAUUGUUUCGCCCAGACAUGAGUGUACUUUGAUUAGUGGUGAAAAGUUGGAAUUAUGCUUUAAGUGUUCUCGGAUGUCAAAUGCAUCCCUUUGAAAUGCAGAGAAAUAAAAAGACAUUUAAAAUAGAGAAAUGUAUUAGCGGAGGACUCUUAAUAGUUAAGUUGUAUCCAACAUGCAAGUACAGAAAUGUUGUCUGGUUGAGCAUAAACCUUUUUGAUCUCUAGUAAUCGUCUGCAUUCAGACAUAUUUUUUUUUUAGGGUGGUGAAGAUAACAAAUUUAAAAUUAUUUUAAUGGCAGCCAAAGACAUAAAAAUGUUUCCCUGAACCAUUCUGUUGUUCUUUAUUUCUUUCUCUCUUUCUUUCUCCCAUAUAUUCAUUAACAUGACUAUUUUUUAUAAUGGCAAGGUGAUGUUUUGUUCCUUGCCUUUGGAUACAUAUGAACAGGAAUAGUGAUGUACUGUCGCAGAUGUACAAUAAAUCAGCCAAGGAUGUCUUCUCUUCUUGAAG